CAGUAGCCGCGGGAAUACGUAGGGUGCGAGCGUUAAUCGGAAUUACUGGGCGUAAAGCGUGCGCAGGCGGUUGUGUAAGACAGGUGUGAAAUCCCCGGGCUUAACCUGGGAACUGCGCUUGUGACUGCACAGCUAGAGUAUGGCAGAGGGGGGUGGAAUUCCACGUGUAGCAGUGAAAUGCGUAGAGAUGUGGAGGAACACCGAUGGCGAAGGCAGCCCCCUGGGCCAAUACUGACGCUCAUACACGAAAGCGUGGGGAGCAAACAGGAUUAGAUACCCCAGUAGUCCUGUCUCUUAUACA
rnacentral:rRNA from 1 species